rnacentral:rRNA from 1 species
GACGAACGCUGGCGGCGUGCUUAACACAUGCAAGUCGAACGGAAAGGCCCUGCUUUUGUGGGGUGCUCGAGUGGCGAACGGGUGAGUAACACGUGAGUAACCUGCCCUUGACUUUGGGAUAACUUCAGGAAACUGGGGCUAAUACCGGAUAGGAGCUCCUGCUGCAUGGUGGGGGUUGGAAAGAUUCGGCGGUUGGGGAUGGACUCGCGGCUUAUCAGCUUGUUGGUGGGGUAGUGGCUUACCAAGGCUUUGACGGGUAGCCGGCCUGAGCGGGUGACCGGCCGCAUUGGGACUGAGGUACGGCCCAGACGCCUACGGGAGGCAGCAGUGGGGAAUAUUGCACAAUGGGCGGAAGCCUGAUGCAGCAACGCCGCGUGCGGGAUGACGGCCUUCGGGUUGUAAACCGCUUUCGCCUGUGACGAAGCGUGAGUGACGGUAAUGGGUAAAGAAGCACCGGCUAACUACGUG